CCUACGGGAGGCAGCAGUGGGGAAUAUUGCACAAUGGAGGAAACUCUGAUGCAGCGACGCCGCGUGAGUGAAGAAGUAGUUUCGCUAUGUAAAGCUCUAUCAGCAGGGAAGAUAGUGACGGUACCUGACUAAGAAGCUCCGGCUAAAUACGUGCCAGCAG
rnacentral:rRNA from 1 species